rnacentral:rRNA from 1 species
UACGAAGGGGGCUAGCGUUGCUCGGAAUCACUGGGCGUAAAGCGCACGUAGGCGGAUCUUUAAGUCAGGGGUGAAAUCCUGGAGCUCAACUCCAGAACUGCCUUUGAUACUGAGGAUCUCGAGUCCGGAAGAGGUGAGUGGAACUCCGAGUGUAGAGGUGAAAUUCGUAGAUAUUCGCAAGAACACCAGUGGCGAAGGCGGCUCACUGGCCCGGUACUGACGCUGAGGUGCGAAAGCGUGGGGAGCGAACGGG